rnacentral:rRNA from 1 species
GCAAGUCGAACGAGGUCCAUGGAGCUUGCUCCGGAAGAUCUAGUGGCGAACGGGUGCGUAACACGUGAGAAAUCUGCCCCGGACUCUGGGAUAACAGUUGGAAACGACUGCUAAUACCGGAUGCCUUCACAUGAUCGCAUGGUUGUUUGAAGAAAGAUUUAUCGGUUUGGGAGGAUCUCGCGGCCUAUCAGCUUGUUGGAGAGGUAACGGCUCACCAAGGCGACGAUCCCUAGCUGGUCUGAGAGGAUGAUC